rnacentral:lncRNA from 1 species
GUUUGGAAUGAUGACUGGGCAAAAGGAUGGUUUUCGAUACACCGAAGUCUCAUAUUUGCUGUCUUUUGCUUUAAUUUUUACAGAGGAAGUAUUAAAAAGGUUACAGAACAGACGGCACAACCCAGGUGAAAUAAUAGCCACUUACAAUUUUAAGAGUCUGUACUCGUCCAUUAGGCUAGAAGCUACAUGUUCGGCUUUCUACAGAUUCAUGCUGAGAAAUCUACCAAUGCAGGGAAAAUAGCGGCAAUCUUGAGAGAUCUUUCCCAUACAAUUUGUCAUGAGUCGUACUUUACUUUUAGGAAGAAAUUCUACAAACAACGGGUUCCCAUAGGAAGCCCCAUAGCAGGUACACUAGCAGAGAUCCUAAUAAGAGAAGUCGAAGAGAAAGUAAUAAAGGAGCUGCAAG